rnacentral:rRNA from 1 species
CCUACGGGAGGCAGCAGUGGGGAAUAUUGGACAAUGGGCGCAAGCCUGAUCCAGCCAUGCCGCGUGAGUGAUGAAGGCCUUAGGGUUGUAAAGCUCUUUCAGUAGGGACGAUAAUGACGGUACCUACAGAAGAAGCCCCGGCUAACUUCGUGCCAGCAGCCGCGGUAAUACGAAGGGGGCUAGCGUUGUUCGGAUUUACUGGGCGUAAAGCGCACGUAGGCGGAUCGUUAAGUCGGGGGUGAAAUCCUGGAGCUCAACUCCAGAACUGCCUUCGAUACUGGCGAUCUUGAGUCCGGAAGAGGUGAGUGGAACUCCUAGUGUAGAGGUGGAAUUCGUAGAUAUUAGGAAGAACACCAGUGGCGAAGGCGGCUCACUGGUCCGGUACUGACGCUGAGGUGCGAAAGCGCGGGGAGCAAACAGGAUUAGAUACCCUGGUAGUCCACGCCGUAAACUAUGAGAGCUAGCCGUUGGGAGAUUUAUCUCUCAGUGGCGCAGCUAACGCAUUAAGCUCUCCGCCUGGGGAGCGGUCGCAAGAUUAAAACUCAAGGAAUUGACGGCUGAGAGNGCGAGACGACGACGAGGGAGGAGG